AGUUAAUUCAGACCACAGCCCUGACUCACCUGCAUGCUGUGCUCCCAGUAUCAAUUUAGUAUUUACAAAUUUUCUGUAUUAUCUCGCCUCCCCUGUGCAUGAAUCAUCUGGGGCUCAGUCUGAAACCUGGAUGGUGGUCUACACCAUAGUUCAGUUCUCAGCAUGUUUGUUAUGUUGCUUAUGGUCAAGUUCUAUGCAUGAAUGGCUCAUGAUGAGCCCAAUACGUCACAGAUUUAAAUAACCCUUUACUCCAGCUACUUCCUUUCUGUGAAUCCCUCACAUUUGCUGACUCCUAGGAGCCCCUUUUCAUGUAAAACCAUGGUUUUAGCAUCCACGCACCAUAAUGAACUUCCUGAAACUAGGUCUACCUCAGAGCAAAGUAGCAAGAGUAAAGAACCUUCAAACCACCUGUUGCUGUAGCCGCUAUUCCUAUGCCAAUCUCCACUGCUGCUGCUACUGCCACUGCCAUGGGGAUGCCACUACAUUACUCAGGCACACGGGAGGUAGGGCUUGAAGAGGCAAACAUCUCUCUUUCCCAAGGACUCCUUUCUCAGUCUUCUGGCCCAAGAGUGAGAACUUUCUUGCAGCAUUUUCUAUUAGCACCUACUGCACAGCUUCAAGAUUCAGGCUUGCCAUGGAAUCUACGCCAGGAAAUAUGGGAGGAAAGAAGAAGCAGAGACUCUGCUCCAAAGAACACAUAACCCCAGCCCGAUCACGAGGAAGAUAUUGGAAAAAUGCGUUGAGAGAAAUUCUACAAAAUAUCUGAUCAGUGUUUUCCAAAACUGUCAAGGACAUCAAAACAAAGGAAGUCUGAGCAACUGUCAGAGCCAAGAGGAGCCUAUGGAAAGAUGACUAUCACCUAUAAUGUGGCAUACUGAAUGGGAUGCUGGAAAGGACAAAGAACAUCAGAGAGCAAGAUGGAGUCACUCAUGUCAAGCAGGGACCAGUGUCAAGCAAUGAUGCAAGCAGUUAAAGGUACUGUGGCUACCAGAUAUCACCGAGACCUGCACUAGUUGACAACACCCCAGAACUGAUAACAAGCAGAAGCAGAGGCCCAAAGAGCUAAAUCCCUUUUUAAAAAGGGAGGGUUUUUCCAGCAAGCUGUCAGACUCUUCAGACAUAGUCCCCUCUACGUCUGACCACUUCAAAAAGGCAGCUACCACCGAAGGCUCUGACCAAUGGAUCUCUGAAUGAACUGAGGUCUUUCCCUGCUUGUACAUAAUAAACAGUAUGUGCCGAGAGCUGACCUCGACCAGACUGAGGCUUUAUCUCAACUGCAUCCCCACAGGCUGACUUUGUGUUUGGUUUUUUAACUUCCUACCUUCUGUGUUAAUCUUGUUUGUUAGGUGACUUGUCUUGUGUUCUGCUUUGUGUGCUGUGUAAGAGGCCAAGUUAAUCACAUGGUGAAAUGUCAUUGAGUUUGGGAUCCUGAACCUGCUUUAUAAUUAUGUUAACCUUGCUUUAUGGCUGAAUAAAGCUGACAUUGUAGAAAGACA